AUAAAUAAAAUAACUGGCCAAAAUUGAUUUUUUUUUUUUUUUUUUAAUCUCAAGAUUGCUUUUUUUUUAUUGCAAAGAAUUAGAUAACCACUCUCCCGUUUGAAAACAUACUGCUGUGGAUCCAUUUACUGGUUGUGUGAUGAAGGAAUAAAAUACGGCCAAAAUCACGGUGGUCCCUGCUACUGUCAGUUUUAUUUAUUGUGUUUAUUUUAUUUCAUUUUUAUUUUGAUGACAAUCACUGAACUUUGCAGGUGUUGGUUAUUCGAAUCAAACCAAGCUAUUUGUAUUGCAGACUGCAGACUUGCAUUGAACAACCUCCUCUUCGUCUGAAAGACAUCAAACAGCAUAUUCUUCGUGGCUGAAUAGGGGCGACUAUUUUUUUUCUUUUUUUUUAUCAUGGUUGUAAAUGUGGGGCGGCCUUCGUUUUGUUAAACGUUCACCUUCAUGUUUGUUCCUAAGAGAUGAGAUGUUUAUGUUUGUUUUUUUUUUGUUUUGUUUUCCUUAACUCCCAACUCACAGCGAGUUUGUACUAUUUAGGAAUUUUCUGUGGUUUUGUCUGGGUCAUACAAUGUAAGGAGCCCCUCAGAUGAGGCAACUCUGACUGAAAACGCAAGAAUUUGAUUGAGCAUAAUUCCUUCCUUGUAUUUGUUGGGAGGCGGGGGGCAUCUGGAAAGAGCCCCCAUCCUUUUUUUUUUGUCUCUGUCAGCAUUGAUCUGCUCCUACUGGGUUGUUGUACUUACUAUUAUUGCUAUUAUUAUCAUUAUUCUUAUUCUUGCUGCUACUGCUCCGUGGCUGUAAUAAAACGAAAGAUCUUCAACAUGAUGUAAAAUAAUUUGAAACAAAAAUAAAUUGUCCGUGAGUAUCUUUUA